rnacentral:rRNA from 1 species
UACGUAGGGGGCAAGCGUUGUCCGGAAUUAUUGGGCGUAAAGAGCUCGUAGGCGGUCUGUUGCGUCCGCUGUGAAAACUCGGGGCUUAACCCCGAGCCUGCAGUGGAUACGGGCAGACUAGAGGUAGGUAGGGGAGAAUGGAAUUCCCGGUGUAGCGGUGAAAUGCGCAGAUAUCGGGAGGAACACCGGUGGGGAAGGCGGUUCUCUGGGCCUUACCUGACGCUGAGGAGCGAAAGCGUGGGGAGCGAACAGG